rnacentral:rRNA from 1 species
UUCCGGUUGAUCCUGCCGGAGGCUACCGCUAUUGGAGUUCGAUUAAGCCAUGCGAGUCGCGAGUCUUAGGGACUCGGCGUACCGCUCAGUAACACGUGGGUAACCUGCCCUAUGCUGGGGGAUAACCUCGGGAAACUGAGAAUAAUACCCCAUAGUUCACCACGCCUGGAACGGUGGGUGGAUCAAAGCUCCGGCGGCAUAGGAUGGGCCUGCGGCGUAUCAGGUUGUAGGGGGUGUAAUGUACCCUCUAGCCCUCUACGCGUACGGGUGUUGAGAGACAUCGCCCGGAGAUGGAUUCUGAGACACGAAUCCAGACCCUACGGGGUGCAGCGGGCGCGAAAACUUGGCAAUGCGAGCAAUCGUGACCAGGGAACUCCAAGUGCAUCGGGUAAGACCGAUGCUUUUCUUGACUCUUCAAAGGUCUUGGAAUAAGGGGUGGGUAAGGACGGUGCCAGCCGCCGCGGUAAUACCGGCGCCUCAAGUGGUAGUCGCUUUUAUUGGGCCUAAAACGUCCGUAGCCGGUUUGGUACAUUCGUGGGUAAAUCAAGACGCUCAACGUCUUGAAUUCUGCGAGCACGGCCAGACUUGGGACCGGGUGAGGUGUGGGGUACUCUCAGGGUAGGGGUAAAAUCCUGUCAUCCUGAGAGGACCACCUGUUGCGAAGGCGCCACACUAGAACGGAUCCGACGGUCAGGGACGAAGCCUAGGGGCACGAACCGGAUUAGAUACCCGGGUAGUCCUAGGUGUAAACGCU